GGGGCUAUAGCUCAGCCUGGAAUGAGCGCCUGCCUUGCACGCAGGAUGUCGUAGGUUCAAAUCCUACUAGCUCCACCA
rnacentral:tRNA from 1 species